GCUUUCUUUACUUUCUUUCCUUUCCUUUCCUUUAUUUUCUUUUCCUUUUUUUUUUUCUUUUCAUUUCCUCUCUUUUCGUUUCUUUUCCUUUCCUUUCUCUUUCUUUCUAUUCUCUUCCUUUUUUCUUUUUUUUUCCUUACUUUUCUUUUCCUUUUCUUCUUUUUCUUCUCGUUUCUUUUCUUUUCAUUUCCUUUCUUUUUAUCAUCAAAAUAGUCAUGUUAUCUUAAAAUAUUUAGGAGUUGUUGGAGUUCAAAAUCUUUGGUGAAAAGUAUUUGGUUAGUGACAAACUCUACUAAAAUUAAACAAAAAGAGAACAAUUA
rnacentral:lncRNA from 1 species